GAUGAACGCUGGCGGCGUGCCUAAUACAUGCAAGUCGAGCGAACAGACGAGGAGCUUGCUCCUCUGACGUUAGCGGCGGACGGGUGAGUAACACGUGGAUAACCUACCUAUAAGACUGGGAUAACUUCGGGAAACCGGAGCUAAUACCGGAUAAUAUAUUGAACCGCAUGGUUCAAUAGUGAAAGACGGCUUUGCUGUCACUUAUAGAUGGAUCCGCGCCGCAUUAGCUAGUUGGUAAGGUAACGGCUUACCAAGGCAACGAUGCGUAGCCGACCUGAGAGGGUGAUCGGCCACACUGGAACUGAGACACGGUCCAGACUCCUACGGGAGGCAGCAGUAGGGAAUCUUCCGCAAUGGGCGAAAGCCUGACGGAGCAACGCCGCGUGAGUGAUGAAGGUCUUCGGAUCGUAAAACUCUGUUAUUAGGGAAGAACAGAUGUGUAAGUAAAUAUGCACGUCUUGACGGUACCUAAUCAGAAAGCCACGGCUAACUACGUG
rnacentral:rRNA from 1 species